UUGAACGCUGGCGGCAGGCCUAACACAUGCAAGUCGAACGGUAACAGGAAACAGCUUGCUGUUUCGCUGACGAGUGGCGGACGGGUGAGUAAUGUCUGGGAAACUGCCUGAUGGAGGGGGAUAACUACUGGAAACGGUAGCUAAUACCGCAUAACGUCGCAAGACCAAAGAGGGGGACCUUCGGGCCUCUUGCCAUCGGAUGUGCCCAGAUGGGAUUAGCUUGUUGGUGGGGUAACGGCUCACCAAGGCGACGAUCCCUAGCUGGUCUGAGAGGAUGACCAGCCACACUGGAACUGAGACACGGUCCAGACUCCUACGGGAGGCAGCAGUGGGGAAUAUUGCACAAUGGGCGCAAGCCUGAUGCAGCCAUGCCGCGUGUAUGAAGAAGGCCUUCGGGUUGUAAAGUACUUUCAGCGGGGAGGAAGGGAGUAAAGUUAAUACCUUUGCUCAUUGACGUUACCCGCAGAAGAAGCACCGGCUAACUCCGUGCCAGCAGCCGCGGUAAUACGGAGGGUGCAAGCGUUAAUCGGAAUUACUGGGCGUAAAGCGCACGCAGGCGGUUUGUUAAGUCAGAUGUGAAAUCCCCGGGCUCAACCUGGGAACUGCAUCUGAUACUGGCAAGCUUGAGUCUCGUAGAGGGGGGUAGAAUUCCAGGUGUAGCGGUGAAAUGCGUAGAGAUCUGGAGGAAUACCGGUGGCGAAGGCGGCCCCCUGGACGAAGACUGACGCUCAGGUGCGAAAGCGUGGGGAGCAAACAGGAUUAGAUACCCUGGUAGUCCACGCCGUAAACGAUGUCGACUUGGAGGUUGUGCCCUUGAGGCGUGGCUUCCGGAGCUAACGCGUUAAGUCGACCGCCUGGGGAGUACGGCCGCAAGGUUAAAACUCAAAUGAAUUGACGGGGGCCCGCACAAGCGGUGGAGCAUGUGGUUUAAUUCGAUGCAACGCGAAGAACCUUACCUGGUCUUGACAUCCACGGAAGUUUUCAGAGAUGAGAAUGUGCCUUCGGGAACCGUGAGACAGGUGCUGCAUGGCUGUCGUCAGCUCGUGUUGUGAAAUGUUGGGUUAAGUCCCGCAACGAGCGCAACCCUUAUCCUUUGUUGCCAGCGGUCCGGCCGGGAACUCAAAGGAGACUGCCAGUGAUAAACUGGAGGAAGGUGGGGAUGACGUCAAGUCAUCAUGGCCCUUACGACCAGGGCUACACACGUGCUACAAUGGCGCAUACAAAGAGAAGCGACCUCGCGAGAGCAAGCGGACCUCAUAAAGUGCGUCGUAGUCCGGAUUGGAGUCUGCAACUCGACUCCAUGAAGUCGGAAUCGCUAGUAAUCGUGGAUCAGAAUGCCACGGUGAAUACGUUCCCGGGCCUUGUACACACCGCCCGUCACACCAUGGGAGUCAGUAACGCCCGAAGUCAGUGACCCAACCGUAAGGAGGGAGCUGCCGAAGGCGGGACCGAUAACUGGGGUG
rnacentral:rRNA from 1 species